GGGGAGCACAGUGUGUGCGCGCCAGAGCUUGGGGUGAGCGGAGUGGCUGUCCCUCCAGAGCAAGGAAGAUGAAUGUCCAAAGGAAAGUUUCCCCUUGAACCAGUGAUCAUCCCCCCCAUUCCUGGCAUGUGAGACUGCACCACUUACUGACAUGGCGUUGUCUCUGCUGCUGCCUGAAGGCAACUGCUCAGAUGCCAGAGAGAAGGGGCACAGGGCCAAAUUAACCCUUAGCCUUCCCACUUCACUCCAGUGCAGCGUGUCUGGAGCGAGGCUCACCUGCUCUGCAUGCUGCCAUGGUCAUCUGUUGCUACUGAGACCUCCUCCUACCAGCUGUACUGCUGUACAGGGUGGCCUGAUGCCACUGUAGUCUUCUGAAAGAUUAAAAACCUGAGCUAUUUUCCUUUGGAAAAGCCAAAGGUUGAUUGCUUCUCCCUUUUUUCCCCCUCCUACAAUUAAAAAGCAAAUGCCCUUUCAUUGCUCAUCCUUCUACUGCUGCAAUGAGAGCAAGUCCAUGGGCAAGGUCUGUACUUUGGCAGUUGGUGCGCAUCUCAGGAACCAUCAGCCAAAGUGCUGAUCUUCCUGGCAGGAAGGAACACAGUCUGGUGCAUCCAGAAGGCUUAAAUUUUGAAAGGUUGGUUGAUAUCUUACCUACCUUAAAAAAAAAGGGUUAAAAAAGUGUGUUUAAACAUUCCUCAUAUGAUACAACUUUCCUAAACACUGUGGAAAGAUGACUGUGUACAGGAAUAUUUUGGCUGUAUAGAAAGAAGGUAUUUGUAAUUGCUGCUUUUUAGUUCACUCUUACUCAUGGAAUAGUUGUCACAGAACAGCUACACAGUGAGCAUCUUAAGGAGCACCCAUUAUUUCUAGAACAUUUGCAUGAGAGGUUGCAAAAAAUCAUAACGUACCUAUUAAUCACUUAGAGCAAGAAUCAGUUUUACUUCGAGAAUGUGCUACAAAUGCAUUAUUCAUCACCUAAUUGCAAGUGCUGAACUGUAGUUAUGUUUUGUCUUGACUAAAACAUGCUUUCCCUUCUUCUACUGCUCCCACCCAUUUUAAGAUCAGGAUUUUUUUUUUUUAAACUUUGCUGUAUUUAAAUUGCAUGGGAUAUAUGGUAAAUCCUUUAACAGCCAAGCCUUCUAAGCUACUUGG